rnacentral:misc_RNA from 1 species
GCUACAUUAGUUGUACCGGAGUUGGAUCAUCAUUCCUAUUGGAAGGAUGAUAGUGACUUUGUCAACAUUUUCGAUAUUGAUUGGUUCAUUUCCUACCUUGCAAAAGAUGUGACCAUUGUCAAAAGAGUUCCUGAUAAAGUCAUGCGAUCAAUGGAAAAACCACCAUAUACCAUGCGUGUUCCAAGAAAAUCACCCCCUGAAUA